CAUAUCAUGCGCACGCAGCAACACACCCCAAGGGUGUGUUAGGAAAUUCUUGUGAAUGGAAACCUUUUCCCACGAGGAGAAGGAUUCCUUCCCCCACCAGGAAUUCAAAACUUUCCUUUCCUAAGAAGGAGUGAAGUCUUUUCCCAACGGGCCUCCUAAUCCAACUCAACAACAAAAGAAAGGUCUACCUAACCAGGCCUAAGAAGGACUCAAGGUCACGAAAGUGAAAAGCUUGCAGUAGCUCGCGAGCUUAAGGGGGAACUUAAUAU
rnacentral:lncRNA from 1 species